AGUUGCCACAGCCUAGGGGGAGGGAAUGAACCUUUACUUGGCCUUUACACACUUCGUCUCAUUUAAUCCUCACAGUAAGGUUAGAGUCUGCAGGUGUCACUCCCAUUUACAGAUAAACAAAUCAGAACUCGGUGAUUAAGGAACAAAGUCACACAACUUGUAAGUGGUGAGCCAGGAUGUGAACCCAGGUUUGGGUGACCCUAAAACCCAUUCCUUGUCCAGCACUUGGGACUAUCUGUAGGAUUCCUGUUGCAGAGAUGUGCAUCGCCUGAAACAGCAGCCUCCUCCUCUGUCCCUCGCUUGCUCUGAAACGUUCAAUGACUCUCCAUACUCUCGUCUAUGGAAAAUGAGUCACAAGAAGGUCAGAGAAGCUGAGUUUGAUCUACACAGUUCACUCCCUCCACCCCUGACCCAGAAUUAAGUCUUGUGGAGGCAGCAUUUCUCCUAACUGUGGUCCUAGCUGGUGUUUCUGUGUGAUGAGCCACAUCUGGCGGACUCAGUGUGGCCCUGGGCUGGUAGACUGAUUGGCAGCUGCACAGGUAGGGCUUCCAGGUGUGAAUGUGGAUGGGCACUCUUAGGCAG
rnacentral:lncRNA from 10 species